rnacentral:lncRNA from 1 species
AUUCUGAUCAUUCUGCAGGAAAAGCAUCUUUAAAUAUGAAGAAAUUACAAGGAUAGCAUGACCCAGUGACCUGUCACUGUGACUCAGCAACUUCAAACAAGAAAGAUUUCAGAGGUCUAGUCCACGGUCACUUGGUGGCUCAUCAGUGGAAGAGACAGAAAAGAGUUGGAAUCCCAAAGCCCACUUGAAGGGUACAUCCCCAAUGAUCUAAUUUCCUCCCAUCAGGUUCCUCCCCCACCUUCCCAAUGGCUCCACUGGGAGAGGUCAAGCCUUUAGCAUGUGGCUCAUACUGCCAAACCACAGACAACAUAGUUGUCAUUAUUCUAGAAAAAGGCAUAAAUCUCACACAAGCAUUUGUAAUGCACAUGGGGAAAACCCUGACCUAAACUGACCUGGGCAGAAUCAUCUGAAAUUCUGAGCCGGAACCAAUGGAGUUGAGUUGGAAUAUACACCAGCAACAAGUCACUAUAAGUGCUCUGCGGAGGCUAUGUUUGUCCCCCCUGAGAAAUGAAAGCAGAAAAGGCCAGUCAUCAGAGAGAACAAAGAAGUGAAUAUUGUAUCAGUUUCCUGUUGUUGCUGUAAAAACAUUACCACAAGCUUAGGACCCUAAAACAUGUAAGUAGAUUUGCUAGGACUGUGGGGCAGAAAUGUAAAAGGGGCUGACAGGACUAUGCUCCAGCAGGCUGCUGGGGAACUGCUGCCUUGCUUCCUCUACCCCCUGAAAGCUGCCUGAACUCCUGGAUGAAUAGAUGCACCACCCCUGCUCCCUAUGCUGCCUUUCUCCAGUCUCCCUCUCAUAAAGACCCUUACAAUCACGAUGGGCCCACCUGGUUAAUUCAGGACAGUCUUUCUAGUUCAAUAUAUUUAAUUUAAUCAUAUCUGCAACAUCUGAUUUGCCAUGUAAAAUGACAGUUUCAAAAAAUCUUAUGCAUUGGACAUCAGUGGGGGAAGGAAUGUCACUAUGCCUACCAAAAAAUUAUCCAGGGAGGUAAAAAGGUCAUAGGUAAAGAACAGGUUUCCACAGGCCUUUGCUUCCUGAAUUCCUACCCUUGGGUGCCAGGACACAC